AUCGCUUCUCGGCCUUUUGGCUAAGAUCAAGUGUAGUAAAAGAAAUAGAUCAGUCCAAAAAAAGUUAAAUUCAAACAAAUCUAGGCAUAAAACAUCC
ensembl:snRNA U2 U2 spliceosomal RNA